rnacentral:rRNA from 1 species
AUUGAACGCUGGCGGCAGGCCUAACACAUGCAAGUCGGGCGGAUGAAGGGAGCUUGCUCCUGGAUUCAGCGGCGGACGGGUGAGUAAUGCCUAGGAAUCUGCCUGGUAGUGGGGGAUAACGUCCGGAAACGGGCGCUAAUACCGCAUACGUCCUGAGGCAGAAAGUGGGGGAUCUUCGGACCUCACGCUAUCAGAUGAGCCUAGGUCGGAUUAGCUAGUUGGUGGGGUAAAGGCCUACCAAGGCGACGAUCCGUAACUGGUCUGAGAGGAUGAUCAGUCACACUGGAACCGAGACACGGUCCAGACUCCUACGGGAGGCAGCAGUGGGGAAUAUUGGACCCUGGGCGAAAGCCUGAUCCAGCCAUGCCGCGUGUGUGAAGAAGGUCUUCGGAUUGUAAAGCACUUUACGUCGGGAGGAAGGGCAGUAAGUUAAUACCUUGCUGUUUUGACGUUACCAACAGAAUAAGCACCGGCUAACUUCGUG